GAUGAAGAACGCAGCGAAAUGCGAUAAGUAAUGUGAAUUGCAGAAUUCAGUGAAUCAUCGAAUCUUUGAACGCACAUUGCGCCCGCCAGUAUUCUGGCGGGCAUGUCUGUUCGAGCGUCAUUUCAACCAUCAAGCCCCCGGGCUUGUGUUGGGGACCUGCGGCUGCCGCAGGCCCUGAAAAGCAGUGGCGGGCUCGCUGUCACACCGAGCGUAGUAGAUUUUAUCUCGCUCAGGGCGUGCUGCGGGUUCCGGCCGUUAAACCACCUUCAUAACCCAAGGUUGACCUCGGAUCAGGUAGGAAGACCCGCUGAACUUAAGCAUAUCAAUAAGCGGAGGA
rnacentral:misc_RNA from 1 species